GAUGAACGCUAGCUACAGGCUUAACACAUGCAAGUCGAGGGGUAACGAGAGGGAAGCUUGCUUUCCUUGUCGACGACCGGCGCACGGGUGAGUAACGCGUGUCCAACCUGCCCCCAACUAGGGAAUAACCUUGCGAAAGUAAGACUAAUACCCUAUAAUUUCCUCAGAUGUCAUCUGACGAGGAAUAAAGAUUUAUCGGUUGUGGAUGGGGAUGCGUCUGAUUAGCUUGUUGGCGGGGUAACGGCCCACCAAGGCAACGAUCAGUAGGGGUUCUUAGAGUAAGGUCACCCACAUUUGAACUGAGACACGGUCCAAACUCCUACGGGAGGCAGCAGUGAGGAAUAUUGGUCAAUGGGCGGAAGCCUGAACCAGCCAAGUAGCGUUCAGGAUGACGGCCCUAUGGGUUGUAAACUGCUUUUAUACAGGAAUAAAGUUAGCCACGUGUGGUUAUUUGUAGGUACUGUAUGAAUAAGGACCGGCUAAUUCCGUGCCAGCCGCCGCGGUAA
rnacentral:rRNA from 1 species